AUUGAACGCUGGCGGCAUGCCUUACACAUGCAAGUCGAACGGUAACAGGUCUUCGGAUGCUGACGAGUGGCGAACGGGUGAGUAAUACAUCGGAACGUGCCCGAUCGUGGGGGAUAACUACUCGAAAGAGUAGCUAAUACCGCAUACGAUCUACGGAUGAAAGCGGGGGAUCUUCGGACCUCGUGCGGACGGAGCGGCCGAUGGCAGAUUAGGUAGUUGGUGGGAUAAAAGCUUACCAAGCCGACGAUCUGUAGCUGGUCUGAGAGGACGACCAGCCACACUGGGACUGAGACACGGCCCAGACUCCUACGGGAGGCAGCAGUGGGGAAUUUUGGACAAUGGGCGAAAGCCUGAUCCAGCAAUGCCGCGUGCAGGAUGAAGGCCUUCGGGUUGUAAACUGCUUUUGUACGGAACGAAAAGACUCCUUCUAAUACAGGGGGUCCAUGACGGUACCGUAAGAAUAAGCACCGGCUAACUACGUGCCAGCAGCCGCCGUAA
rnacentral:rRNA from 1 species